CACACAGGUCGUAGGCGCGGCCCGCCGCCAGGUCAUUCACCAGGAAGGUCCCUGGGCUCAAAUGAGGGGCAAUGUAGGAAAGUGGUGAAGUUGACAAUGUGUGGGAGCCAGAGAGCUUGAGUUUCUCCUCUGCUCCUUGCUUGCUCUGUGACCUCUGGACCCAAGCAAGAGGCAGAGCAGCCUUCUGGUUGGAUGUCCCCUCCGCCCAUGGCAGCAGUGAGGAAGUUAACCCCUGCAGCGCCACAGCUCAGGAGUCUGCAGUGGGGGACAGAGGACCAGCACUGUGGCUCUCUGGGGAAGGGAAGAGACCCGGGAUCCUUUGCCCAGCUUGGGAGAGAGCACCAUCAACAUCUGCAUGCAGGGUCUGAGGCCCACCCCAACAUGUAGAAGCCAUGGGUUACAGAGAGAAGGAAAGAAAGAAACAGGUGGAAAGUCACAGAAACCAAGAGUUAUCUACAGAAAUGUCUUAACCAUGUCCCUUCAUCCCUGCCAGGCAAACAGUAGGUGCUCAAUACAUGGGUGUUCAGUGUAA